CCCAGUGACUGAGCCUUUAUUUGGUAAUGUUAUAACUCCUUUAGAAUGUUUUAAAUCAGUCUAAUACUGCUUUUUCAUUAAUGUUGUCUUAGCUGUGAAUUGGAAAUCACUAGUAGUCCUGUUUGUCCCCAUUUUCCAAGUAUGGCUCCAGCAUGUUUACAACAGUUAUGGCUGCAAGAGCCUGGAUGGGAGUAAAGAAUCAUUAGAAGGCCCUCCUUUACUGGAACAUUGGUCAGCCUGCCAUUUUUAAUACUCUUGUCACAAUGGUAUCUCGUAUGAAGAGAUGCUCCCACUUUACCUGAAUGCCUGCCUGAAGGAAGUGGUUUACCUGUGUUAACCCUUUGAAAGGGCCAGAUGAAGAGAGAGUGAACAUCAUUUGUCAUAAUGUCAACCUAUGAACGUUUUGAAGAGAUUCCAUCGGGGCUCUGGCAGAGAGAACUCAACUGCCAUGGGAAAUGGGUUACAGCCUUCACAGGACAUACAGGUUAAAAUACCAGAGUGGAAUGUUGUCCUGGUGUUGGAUGGGACUCUCAGGGUAGUGAGCAGGCCAAGAAAGGCCAAGUAGCGCCCCUGUGUUCCCAUGAUGAGCCUGAGGGAGCACCACAACAAGGACUCACUUCCUGUUGAACUCUGUCCACCUCAGAAGGCAGGUGUGUUUAAAAAGGAUACUGAGUUUCUGAAGUUGCUUAAGAAAACAGUGGAAUCUGAAGAAAGGCAGGCCAAAAACAAGGCCACGCAGGAAAUUGUGCAGCAGGGCAAGUGUAGGAAUGGGAGACCCAUUAUGCUUGCGUCUGUAAGAGACAGCGGAUGUCUUUUGUCCUCAUGUUAGUUAGCUGGUACUGCUCUGUAACUGGUUAAUGGCCUUAUGUAGAACAUAAUUUUUAUCACUGGGCUCUUGAAGGGUAUAUUUUUGGCUUGCCAUUCUCUAGACUCUGACUUUCCGACCCAAUGUUCCAAUGGAAAUUUUCCAGAACAGUGAAAUUUCAAACUGCACAGGCAAGAGGAAGAAUGGACAUCGCAGCCUUAAAACAAACGAGACAGGAGCUACUAUGUCCAUUCUCGUCCCCUCCACCCCCCACCCCCUCAGAAAUAAACGAGCAUUUUCUGGAAGUGUUUGGCUUCACAAAAUGAGAUGCACAA